GGCGAACCGGGGGAACUGAAACAUCUAAGUACCCCGAGGAAAAGAAAUCAACCGAGAUUCCCCCAGUAGCGGCGAGCGAACGGGGAGGAGCCCAGAGCCUGAAUCAGUGUGUGUGUUAGUGGAAGCGUCUGGAAAGGCGCGCGAUACAGGGUGACAGCCCCGUACACAAAAAUGCACAUGCUGUGAGCUCGAUGAGUAGGGCGGGACACGUGGUAUCCUGUCUGAAUAUGGGGGGACCAUCCUCCAAGGCUAAAUACUCCUGACUGACCGAUAGUGAACCAGUACCGUGAGGGAAAGGCGAAAAGAACCCCGGCGAGGGGAGUGAAAAAGAACCUGAAACCGUGUACGUACAAGCAGUGGGAGCACGCUUAGGCGUGUGACUGCGUACCUUUUGUAUAAUGGGUCAGCGACUUAUAUUCUGUAGCAAGGUUAACCGAAUAGGGGAGCCGAAGGGAAACCGAGUCUUAACUGGGCGUUAAGUUGCAGGGUAUAGACCCGAAACCCGGUGAUCUAGCCAUGGGCAGGUUGAAGGUUGGGUAACACUAACUGGAGGACCGAACCGACUAAUGUUGAAAAAUUAGCGGAUGACUUGUGGCUGGGGGUGAAAGGCCAAUCAAACCGGGAGAUAGCUGGUUCUCCCCGAAAGCUAUUUAGGUAGCGCCUCGUGAAUUCAUCUCCGGGGGUAGAGCACUGUUUCGGCAAGGGGGUCAUCCCGACUUACCAACCCGAUGCAAACUGCGAAUACCGGAGAAUGUUAUCACGGGAGACACACGGCGGGUGCUAACGUCCGUCGUGAAGAGGGAAACAACCCAGACCGCCAGCUAAGGUCCCAAAGUCAUGGUUAAGUGGGAAACGAUGUGGGAAGGCCCAGACAGCCAGGAUGUUGGCUUAGAAGCAGCCAUCAUUUAAAGAAAGCGUAAUAGCUCACUGGUCGAGUCGGCCUGCGCGGAAGAUGUAACGGGGCUAAACCAUG
rnacentral:rRNA from 1 species